UUUUUAUUUAAAUACAUUUAUUUGAACCGGCCUGGGGGAGGCUUGAUGUUGAUGGGUUGGUGAUUAAAGCCUCCCAAAGCCAAUCCUUGGCAUGGCCUUUGGGACUCAAAACACAGUAUCUGACUUGUGGGGCACAAUACCAUCUUGAACGCCCAAAAAAAGGUUUGGUUUUGUUGCCAAAGGGCAGGUGGCUCCCGGCAGGGCUGAUGGUGGCAGGUGGGGGUGAGGAGCCUGCGGUGCUCCCCAGAAAAGGGGAAGGGGCAGUGGGGUUAGAAGGUCCUGGCUCCCCUUCUCCCGGCCUUCCUCUGCCUGGGGCCCACUGCAUCUGAUUGGCAGUCACUUCCCAUGAGGGCCUGGCCCACCCGCUGCAGUUGCCCUAAGGAAAAAUAAAGCUGCCUUUCCCCGUCCUGCUGUGGCCAAAGUGUCCUUGCUCCAGGUUCCUGCCCUGGGCUUGGGCAUUUGUCUCGGCUGCUCACAAGACCUUCUUUUCGGGAGACA
rnacentral:sRNA from 1 species